rnacentral:rRNA from 1 species
GACGAACGCUGGCGGCGUGCUUAACACAUGCAAGUCGAACGGAAAGGCCCUGCUUUUGUGGGGUGCUCGAGUGGCGAACGGGUGAGUAACACGUGAGUAACCUGCCCUUGACUUUGGGAUAACUUCAGGAAACUGGGGCUAAUACCGGAUAGGAGCUCCUGCUGCAUGGUGGGGGUUGGAAAGUUUCGGCGGUUGGGGAUGGACUCGCGGCUUAUCAGCUUGUUGGUGGGGUAGUGGCUUACCAAGGCUUUGACGGGUAGCCGGCCUGAGAGGGUGACCGGCCUCAUUGGGACUGAGGUACGGCCCAGACUCCUACGGGAGGCAGCAGUGGGGAAUAUUGCACAAUGGGCGGAAGCCUGAUGCAGCAACGCCGCGUGCGGGAUGACGGCCUUCGGGUUGUAAACCGCUUUCGCCUGUGACGAAGCGUGAGUGACGGUAAUGGGUAAAGAAGCACCGGCUAACUACGUG